AGUUAUUGUUGUUAAUUUCUUACUGUGGUUAAUUUACAAGUUAAACUUUAUCAUAGUUAUGCGUGUAAAGACAGUCCCUAACUUCCAAUGGUUCUACUUACAAUUUUACUGACUUUAUGACAGUUCGAAGGCCAUACACAUGUACAAUACUCUCUCAUGAUGCUGGGUGGCAGCAGCAAGCCACAGCUCCCAGUCAGCCACUCAAUCAUGAGAGUAAACAACCAAUACUUUGCAGAGUACUGUGUUGCCAGAUCAUUUUGCCCAAAUGUGGGCUAAUGUAAGUGUUCUGAACACAUUUAAGGUAGGGUAGGCUAUGAAGUUUGGAGGAUGUAUAAUUGCAUUUUCAACUUAUGAUGGGUUUAUUGGGAAGUAACCCUGUUUUAAAUCGAGCAUCUGUACAGAAAACAACAGUACAUAUAGAGUUUAGUAGUAUCCAUGGUUUCAGGCAUCCACUGGGGGUCUUCAAAUGUAUGCCCUGCAAAUAAGGGGGGACUACUGUAAGGCAAGAAAAAUGAGUAAAUGAUAAAGUUUAGAAAUUAAGACUUUCUUUUAUUGGUAUCGACAAGAUUAUACUUAUAUAGAGAGAAAAUACAAAAUAACCCACAAACUAUUUGAAUAAAUAAUUGAAUUCAUAAAUGUCACUGGCUAUGAGGUCAAUGUACAAAAAGAUAUUGCAAUUCUAUGUACUAACAAAAAAAUUGAAAAA